UGGAGGAGUGUCCGAGCGGCCGAUGGAGCACGCUUGGAAAGCGUGUAUACGUGUAAACGUAUCGUGGGUUCGAAUCCCACCUCCUCCGU
rnacentral:tRNA from 1 species